rnacentral:rRNA from 1 species
GCCGGCAGCUAGCUCUCUGCAACUCUCACAUGGCCGCCCACUGAAGCUAAGCAGGGCUGCGCCCGGUCAGUACCUGGAUGGGAGACCACAUGGGAAAGCUAGGUUGCUGCCGGAA